CCCUCUUCCCCUUCCUCCACGUAUGUGCAAACAGUUGUUCUUUGUGUAGAGCAUCCCUUGGACAAACGGGUCUUUUGUUUAGUAUGAGGACAUCCCCCAUGACAAGUUGAUGGCACAUUAAGAAAAGUAUCUGCAUCUUAGAGAGUGCUGUUCAUUGAGUUUAGAUGCAUCUCACAUGACAUCACCUAGUAGGAGUAUGCAUUUGCUUCCAAAAAGUAGAGAAGAUUGUACCAGGGAAGAUAAAAGGCUCAUAAAUCGCAGAAGUCAUUGAUGUUCUCCAAGGCAUGAUGUUAGAUCAGUCAUGAGCUCACAAGUGUGUGAAAUGGUUCUUGACUUGAUAUUGGCAUGGUUUAUUGAAACUUUAGAUGGUUCGCUGCUAUAACACUUAGUGUCUGUUUGGCAACCCUAAUUGAAUAAUUUACUUGAAGAAAUGUCAUUUUGGACAAGUUGUCUAAUAUUGGCCUGUCUAGGAUAGCUUUUGGGACAGAAUCAUUUUUUGUAAUUCAAAUUGUUAUCUCAAGGCUGGUAUGUCAUUUAACUUUGAAGUGGAAAAUUGCAAGCAUGCAGACUCUAGCAUAUAAAUUGCCUUUCUGCUUGAAUUUCCAUGUUACGUACUCUCAAACCUCAAUAAUGUCCCUGCAUGAAAUGGAGCCAUUAGGGCAUACAACACAGUACCCUUUAUAGAAUGGUGUUUGAAGACAACUAUAUUGCCUCCAUUUCAUGCAGUACCCUAUAUUGACUCUAGCAUAUAAAUUGCCUUUCUGCUUGAAUUUCCAUGUUACGUACUCUCAAACCUCAAUAAUGUCCCUGCAUGAAAUGGAACCAUUAGGGCAUACAACACAGUACCCUUUAUAGAAUGGUGUUCGAAGACAACUAUAUUUCCUAUGAUGUAUCAUACUUUCUAAUUGUUAUUUCGUUC
rnacentral:lncRNA from 1 species